GGCCCGAUAGCCAAGUGGUAAGGCAAAGAUCUGCAAAAUCUUUAUGCGGGAGUUCAAUUCUCCCUCGGGCCUCCA
rnacentral:tRNA from 1 species